rnacentral:lncRNA from 1 species
AGAAUGCAUCAUAGAAUUUUCAAAGCUGUAAGAAAGAGGAAUGAAUCACAGUUCAUCUCGCAGAUUUAUGGCAUGCCUACAGAAAAAGUACCUUAUGAUGCAAACCUGAAAGUUUAAAUAAUCUCCUGAAAGUUCCACAAUCAGCUGCAGAGAACUCCAGGAGCUGUUUUUAAAGAAGAUUAAGCUCUCACCCCUGCAGUACGCUUCUUUCCGUUGGGUUUCCUCCGCCUGUAAGUCACCUUUCUUGAAGGGGUAUCUUCAAGAAGACCCAAGCCUGCCUAGCUUUCCUGGUGUCCUCCUGGCCAUAGGAAACUCUCCUGUUUUUGUCUCACUGCACCGUUACCUCUUCUUUUCCAUACCAUUCUACUCCAGCCAGGUUCCAGCUUUCAUCAUUCUCCAGAGAAGACAUCUCCAUUUUCACAUAAGCUCCCCAACUCUCAAGAAGACAUGUCAAACUUCAAAGAA